AUUGAUUGGUGCUUGCAUCAUGAUUUACAUUUGAGUGAGUGGCGAACUGGUGAGUAACACGUGGGAAACCUGCCCAGAAGCGGGGGAUAACACCUGGAAACAGAUGCUAAUACCGCAUAACAACUUGGACCGCAUGGUCCGAGCUUGAAAGAUGGCUUCGGCUAUCACUUUUGGAUGGUCCCGCGGCGUAUUAGCUAGAUGGUGGGGUAACGGCUCACCAUGGCAAUGAUACGUAGCCGACCUGAGAGGGUAAUCGGCCACAUUGGGACUGAGACACGGCCCAAACUCCUACGGGAGGCAGCAGUAGGGAAUCUUCCACAAUGGACGAAAGUCUGAUGGAGCAACGCCNCGUGAGUGAAGAAGGGUUUCGGCUCGUAAAACUCUGUUGUUAAAGAAGAACAUAUCUGAGAGUAACUGUUCAGGUAUUGACGGUAUUUAACCAGAAAGCCACGGCUAACUACGUGCCAGCAGCCGCGGUAAUACGUAGGUGGCAAGCGUUGUCCGGAUUUAUUGGGCGUAAAGCGAGCGCAGGCGGUUUUUUAAGUCUGAUGUGAAAGCCUUCGGCUCAACCGAAGAAGUGCAUCGGAAACUGGGAAACUUGAGUGCAGAAGAGGACAGUGGAACUCCAUGUGUAGCGGUGAAAUGCGUAGAUAUAUGGAAGAACACCAGUGGCGAAGGCGGCUGUCUGGUCUGUAACUGACGCUGAGGCUCGAAAGUAUGGGUAGCAAACAGGAUUAGAUACCCUGGUAGUCCAUACCGUAAACGAUGAAUGCUAAGUGUUGGAGGGUUUCCGCCCUUCAGUGCUGCAGCUAACGCAUUAAGCAUUCCGCCUGGGGAGUACGGCCGCAAGGCUGAAACUCAAAGGAAUUGACGGGGGCCCGCACAAGCGGUGGAGCAUGUGGUUUAAUUCGAAGCUACGCGAAGAACCUUACCAGGUCUUGACAUACUAUGCAAAUCUAAGAGAUUAGACGUUCCCUUCGGGGACAUGGAUACAGGUGGUGCAUGGUUGUCGUCAGCUCGUGUCGUGAGAUGUUGGGUUAAGUCCCGCAACGAGCGCAACCCUUAUUAUCAGUUGCCAGCAUUAAGUUGGGCACUCUGGUGAGACUGCCGGUGACAAACCGGAGGAAGGUGGGGAUGACGUCAAAUCAUCAUGCCCCUUAUGACCUGGGCUACACACGUGCUACAAUGGAUGGUACAACGAGUUGCGAACUCGCGAGAGUAAGCUAAUCUCUUAAAGCCAUUCUCAGUUCGGAUUGUAGGCUGCAACUCGCCUACAUGAAGUCGGAAUCGCUAGUAAUCGCGGAUCAGCAUGGCGCGGUGAAUACGUUCCCGGGCCUUGUACACACCGCCCGUCACACCAUGAGAGUUUGUAACACCCAAAGUCGGUGGGGU
rnacentral:rRNA from 2 species